GUAAAAGCCCACCAUUGGCAAGUACUACAGCAAUCAUAAUGAGAAAAUUUAUUUCUAUAGAUUUUUGGUGAAUAUUUUAAACUAUUAAUUGCAUUGUGUUUCACUAUUAUGCAAGAUGUCAACAAAUAAUGACCCGUAGUAAAUAAAAGCCCACCAUUUGCAAGUACUACAGCAAUCAGAAUGAGAAAAUGUAGUUUUAUUGAUUUUUGGUGAAUAUUUUAGCUAUUAAUUAGGCCUACAUCCUGUUUCACUAUUAUGGAAAAUGUAAACAAAUAAUGACCCAUAGUAGGUAAAAGCCCACCAUUGGCAAGUACUACAGCAAUCAGAAUGAAAAAAAAUAGUUUUAUAGAUUUUUGGUGAAUAUUUUAGCAAUUAAUUUCAUCCUGUUUCACUAUUAUGCAAAAUAUCAACAAAUAAUGACCCGUAGUAAUAAAAGCCCACCUUUGGCAAGUACUACAGCAAUCUGAAUCAGAAAAUGUAGUUUUAUUGAUUUUUGGUGAAUAUUUUAAACUAUUAAUUGCAUUGUGUUUCACUAUUAUGCAAGAUGUCAACAAAUAAUGACCCGUAGUAAAUAAAAGCCCACCAUUGGCAAGUACUACAGCAAUCAGGCCUAAAAAAUUUUUUUGUUUGGUUCCGGUUUCCGACCGACCCUGUCAAUUUAUGUGCGACCCAAAUUAUUUUAUGAGCUUUAUCAAAAAAAAAAAAUUUUUUGAUGCAAACUAUAAUUACGUUUUGGUACAGCACCUCUUCAUUCUGUACAAGGAUGAGCGAAUUCAUCAUUCGUCAUUCAUCAUAUCAUUCGCUGCCGCUGGAAAAAAUAAAAUAAAAAAAUAAAAUAAAUUCCCUACCUACCCAUGACCUCAACUGACAACCAACAGGAACCAAACUUUUUUUUUUUUUAGGCCUCAGAAUGAGAAAAUGUAGUUUUAUUGAUUUUUGGUGAAUAUUUUAGCUAUUAAUUAGGCCUACAUCCUGUUUCACUAUUAUGGAAAAUGUAAACAAAUAAUGACCCGUAGUAGGUAAAAGCCCACCAUUGGCAAUUACUACAGCAAUCAGAAUGAAAAAAAAUAGUUGUAUAGAUUUUUGGUGAAUAUUUUAGCUAUUAAUUUCAUCCUGUUUCACUAUUAUGCAAAAUAUCAACAAAUAAUGACCCGUAGUAAGUAAAAGCCCACCAUUGGCAAGUACUACAGC
ensembl:lncRNA